rnacentral:sRNA from 1 species
GCCAGGCGUGGUGGCGCACGCCUAUAAUCCCAGCAUCUCAGAAGGCUGAGGCAGGGGGCUCAUGAGUUCAAAGCCAGCCUCAGCAAAAGCAGGCGCUAGCAACUCAGUGAGACCCUGUCUCUA